rnacentral:rRNA from 1 species
UAGANGGUGAUCAUGGCUCAGACUGAACGCUGGCGGCAGGCCUAACACAUGCAAGUCGAGCGGAAACGACACUAACAAUCCUUCGGGUGCGUUAAUGGGCGUCGAGCGGCGGACGGGUGAGUAAUGCCUAGGAAAUUGCCUUGAUGUGGGGGAUAACCAUUGGAAACGAUGGCUAAUACCGCANAAUGCCUACGGGCCAAAGAGGGGGACCUUCGGGCCUCUCGCGUCAAGAUAUGCCUAGGUGGGAUUAGCUAGUUNGUGAGGUAAUGGCUCACCAAGGCGACNAUCCCUAGCUGGUCUGAGAGGAUGAUCAGCCACACUGAACUGAGACACGGUCCACACUCCUACGGGAGGCAGCAGUGGGGAAUAUUGCACAAUGGGCGANAGCCUGAUGCAGCCAUGCCGCGUGUAUNAAGAAUGCCUUCGGGUUGUANNGUACUUUCAGUUNUGAGGAANGGUGUGUANUUNAUAGCUGCACANCUUGACGUUAGCAACAGAAGAAGCACCGGCUAACUCCGUGCCAGCAGCCGCGGUAAUACGGAGGGUGCNAGCGUUGAUCGGAAUUACUGGGCGUAAAGCGCACGCAGGUGGUUCAUUAAGUCAGAUGUGAAAGCCCGGGGCUCAACCUCGGAACUGCAUUUGAAACUGGUGAACUAGAGUGCUGUAGAGGGGGGUAGAAUUUCAGGUGUAGCGGUGAAAUGCGUAGAGAUCUGAAGGAAUACCAGUGGCGAAGGCGGCCCCCUGGACAGACACUGACACUCAGAUGCGAAAGCGUGGGGAGCAAACAGGAUUAGAUACCCUGGUAGUCCACGCCGUAAACGAUGUCUACUUGGAGGUUGUGGCCUUGAGCCGUGGCUUUCGGAGCUAACGCGUUAAGUAGACCGCCUGGGGAGUACGGUCGCAAGNUUAAAACUCAAAUGAAUUGACGGGGGCCCGCACAAGCGGUGGAGCAUGUGGUUUAAUUCGAUGCAACGCGAAGAACCUUACANUACUCUUGANAUCCAGAGAANCCAGCGGAGAA